rnacentral:rRNA from 1 species
AUUGAACGCUGGCGGCAGGCCUAACACACGCAAGUCGAGCGGAUGAAGGGAGCUUGCUCCUGGAUUCAGCGGCGGACGGGUGAGUAAUGCCUAGGAAUCUGCCUGGUAGUGGGGGAUAACGUCCGGAAACGGGCGCUAAUACCGCAUACGUCCCGAGGGAGAAAGUGGGGGAUCUUCAGACCCCACGCUAUCAGAUGAGCCUAGGGCGGAUUAGCUAGUUGGUGGGGUAAAGGCCUACCAAGGCGACGAUCCGUAACUGGUCUGAGAGGAUGAUCAGUCACACUGGAACUGAGACACGGUCCAGACUCCUACGGGAGGCAGCAGUGGGGAAUAUUGGACAAUGGGCGAAAGCCUGAUCCAGCCAUGCCGCGUGUGUGAAGAAGGUCUUCGGAUUGUAAAGCACUCUAAGUUGGGAGGAAGGGCAGUAAGUUAAUACCUUGCUGUUUUGACGUUACCAACAGAAUAAGCACCGGCUAACUUCGUG